GGGUUCCUUCGAGUGUAAACUAUGCCAUAUGUUUCUACCGACCUCGUACAGUUUCGGCGUCCACAACCUCAUACACACGCGUCGGUACGAAUGCUUGGAGUGCGGUCGGAUUAUGAUCGACCGGCGGUCUAUACUCGACCACUAUAGGAGCCAACACGAAGGACUGACGACUACUUAUAAAUGCGACUUAUGCGGGAAAGUUUCAACCAACAGCAAGACUCACCGAGGCCAUAUGAGGAACCACCACAGCGGCGACCGACCCAAAUGCGACCAGUGUGGGAAGAGCUUCGUGAAUAAGGACGCGCUCUGCGAACA